AAGAAAGUGACUGCCGCCCCGCACAGGGGCGAGCUAAUAGACCGCGAACAAAGCAAGUUUCAUAGAGGCCGAAGUGCAUCAAACGGUGUAGAAGCCCGAACCCCAAGCCCCAU
rnacentral:sRNA from 1 species